CCUUGAAUAGAGCAGUAAACAUGCUGCAAGGUAUACCACUACUUUACUUUUAAAUUAACAGACAGCUAAAAAUAGAAAUAACUUCGAAGUUAUAUUUAAAACAUACCUAAUUACAGCAAAUAUUUUCAUUUACAAAAUACAAGUAUUAUUUUACCAACCUGACAUUUCACGUUGGCAAAAUAAUUAAAUAACCUUACCUAUCUAGACACACGGCAGUGUGUCCGCCAAGUUCGAGCAAAAAAACCGACACACCGGCCGUGGGUUAUAUUACACGAACCAUUUCGGGCCAAGUUCGACCCACCUAUAACUCAAAAUCUAUUUUAUCUACGCAUAUGAAAUUUCUAGUAUCUGUCGAGAGUCUACUUACUUAUCUAAAAUACAAAAUUUCAUUAAUGUACCUAUUGUAGGUCUUGAGAUAUUGACGUCAGAAAAUCGCUAUUUUUACUAUACACUCACUGACUGACUCACUCACUCACUCACUCAUCAAAAACCUAGACCACUUCCAAUGGUCGUAUUGACUUGAAAUUUGGCAUGGAGGUAGGUCUUUAGGUCAAGGUAAAGGAAAAAAUCUGAAAAUGGCCAAGUGUGAGUCGGUUUUAAAAAUAAUGAAGGUGUAAAUUCAUACCCCUAAGGAACUAAAACAAAAAAAUUAUCUAUAUCUUCCAAUGGUCGUACCGACCUAAAAUUCGUUACGAAGGUUUGUAUUUAGUCAAAGUAAAGUAAAAUAAGAAAAAAAGAAAAUAAACCUUACAAAAAUAAAUGAAAUCCCACCCAAAACAUAAAUGUGAAAGGAUGCCAAGUUCGAUAAUAUUGGAAUGCUUCGCCUAUAAAAGAAGUGAGAUCUAAAUAAGUACCAAGUUCCAUACACAGACCUCAGUUAAAAAUGAUAUAACUUGGCAAGUUUUAAUAGAAAAUUAUAUACUUGACUCAUUGCGUUUAGUAGGUUUAUAACAAAGUGUGUGAAAACUUGCCAACUUGUUAUAUCAUUUUUAACUGAGGUCUGUGUAUGGAACUUGGUACUUAUUUAGAUCUCACUUCUUUUAUAGGCGAAGCAUUCCAAUAUUAUCGAACUUGGCAUCCUUUCACAUUUAUGUUUUGGGUGGGAUCUUUU